rnacentral:rRNA from 1 species
AGUGAACGCUGGCGGCAGGCCUAACACAUGCAAGUCGAGCGGAUGAAGGGAGCUUGCUCCUGGAUUCAGCGGCGGACGGGUGAGUAAUGCCUAGGAAUCUGCCUGGCAGUGGGGGCUAACGUCCGGAAACGGGCGCUAAUAUCGCACACGAUCUGAGGAAGAAAGUGGGAGAUCUUCGGACCUCACGCUAUCAGAUGAGCCUAGGUCGGAUUAGCUAGUGGGUGGGGUAAAGGCCUACCAAGGCGACGAGACGUAACUGGUCUGAGAGGGUGAUCAGUCACACUGGCACUGUGCCACGGUCAGGACUCCUAAGGGAGGCAGCAGUGGGCAAUAUUGCACAAUGGGCGAAAGCCUGAUCGAGUCAUGCCGCGUGUGUGAAGAAGGUCCUCGGAUUGUAAAGCACUUUCAGUUGGGAGGAAGGGCAGUAAGUUAGUACCUUGCUGUUUUGACGGUACCAACUGAAUCAGCACGGGCUAACUUCGUG